UCUACGUCAGUUGGCUGCGCCGAGUUGGCCGUUGCUAUUACAGUUGCUGGGAGGAGCUGAGAGGUGGAGUUGCUGGGGCAAAGAUCAUGCCGGAAAGCCAAAGGUUUCCUGGGCAGCAGAGGCCGGUGGGCUUGGGAUGAAAGAAGCAGGGCAGAUGCAAAAUCUGGAGAGCGCGGGGGCCGGACGGUCAGUCAGCACCCAGACUGGCAGCAUGACCGGUGAAAUACCAAGGCUUUCUAAAGUCAACCUCUUCACUCUGCUCAGCCUCUGGAUGGAGCUCUUCCCAGUGGUCGGAACCCAAAGACAAAAAUCUCAGGAAAAAGAGGAGGGAAAGCAUGGAGCCUUAGGGGAUAAUGAAGAGAUGACCAGAGUAUCUCCUGACAAAAAACAGGUUAAGAGAACUGGUCUUGUGGUGGUGAAAAACAUGAAAAUUGUUGGCCUGCACUGUUCUAGUGAAGACUUACACGCUGGGAAAAUUGCUCUGAUAAAACAUGGAUCAAGGCUGAAAAACUGUGAUCUUUAUUUUUCCAGAAAGCCAUGUUCUGCUUGUUUGAAAAUGAUUGUAAAUGCUGGAGUAAACCGAAUUUCAUAUUGGCCUGCUGAUCCAGAAAUAAGUUUGCUUACUGAGGCUUCUAGUUCCGAAGAUGCAAAGUUAGAUGCCAAAGCAGUGGAAAGAUUGAAGUCAAACAGCCGGGCUCAUGUGUGUGUCUUACUUCAGCCCCUGGUGUGUUACAUGGUGCAGUUUGUAGAGGAGACCUCUUACAAAUGUGACUUUAUUCAAAAAAUUUCAAGAACAUUGCCGGACACUAACAUUGACUUUUAUUCUGAAUGUAAGCAAGAAAGAAUAAAAGAAUAUGAAAUGAUAUUUUUGGUUUCCAAUGAAGAAAUGCAUAAGCAAAUACUGAUGACUAUAGGUUUGGAGAACCUGUGUGAAAACCCGUACUUUAGCAAUCUAAGGCAAAACAUGAAGGACCUUAUCCUCCUUUUGGCCACAGUAGCUUCCAGUGUGCCCAACUUUACACACUACGGGUUUUAUUGUCGCAAUACCGAACAGAUUAAUGAAGUUCACAAUCAAAGUUUGCCACAAGAAAUUGCAAGACACUGCAUGAUUCAGGCCAGGUUAUUGGCGUAUCGAACUGAGGAUCAUAAAACAGGAGUUGGAGCAGUUAUCUGGGCAGAAGGAAAGUCUAGAAGUUGUGAUGGGACGGGCGCGAUGUACUUCAUAGGAUGCGGUUAUAACGCUUUUCCUGUUGGAUCCGAGUAUGCUGACUUCCCACACAUGGAUGACAAACAGAAAGACAGAGAAAUAAGGAAAUUCCGAUACAUUGUUCACGCCGAGCAGAAUGCCUUGACAUUUAGGUGUCAAGAAAUAAAACCAGAAGAAAGAAGUAUGAUUUUUGUGACAAAGUGCCCAUGUGAUGAAUGUGUACCUUUAAUUAAAGGUGCAGGUAUAAAACAGAUCUAUGCAGGGGAUGUAGAUGUUGGAAAAAAGAAGGCAGACAUCUCUUACAUGAGAUUUGGGGAACUUGAGGGUGUUAGCAAAUUUACAUGGCAACUGAAUCCAUCACGAACUUGUGUUCUUGAGCAAAAUGAGCCUGAAAGUAGAGAGACCUGGAAAAAAAUUCCAUCUUUUUAAAAAUUUGUCAAGAAAAAAAAAAGUAGGAAAAGAGAAGAAAGAAAAAAAUACAUGUAUCUGAUUAAAGAAUGUAUUCAGUAACAAUGUUUGAAGGGACGGUGUGUUGGGACCCGUGCCUCUGGAGGAAGACCAGCACCAAAACAAGAAGCUGCGCCUUGCAAACCACUAAGAAGUCCUGUCUAAACUGGAGUGAAGGCCUCAAGACUUUUUAUUGCACUUUUAAAAUCCAGCCUUGUUAAUGCAGAAAACAAGGGUGGAGUUUGUGAAUAAUUGAAAAAAAUUUUUAAAGGAAGCUAAUUUAUUACUAGCAUAUGAAUGAUAUUAAUGAGAAUAUUUUUAUUUUAGAUGUAUUUGUGUGUUUUCCAGACUGUACUGGUGUGUUCCUUUAUUACACCGAAUGAGGUGUAUCAGUCAUUGAUAAGACCAGUUUAAUCCACCAUAGGGAUUGAUUUCUCCUUGUCUUAGCUUUACAUUAGCCAUGUUGAAAGGGCUGGUUUACUGGAAUCACAUCUCAGCAGAGAAUUACACACCUUUUCAAAAGUAUUAGUUCCUUUGAAUUAUGGAGGUGAUAAUUAGUUAACUACUCCAGGGAAAUAAAUGGCAACCUGGCCAUUUUUAAGUCAGUGUAUGGCUCACCAAAAGUUGACAUUUAUACUGAAAGAUUUCUAAUAAUCUGAAUUUACUUAAUUAGGAUUGAGUCGCAAAAGUGAAGUUGGUAGACCUGGUCUCCAUUAUAAAAGUAUAUUCCUAAGAAGGCUAUUAAUUUUUCUUCAGUCUUUUGCUAUGUGGAAAUCACAGUCAUUUAUUGGACUGGGGUGUUAUAUCACUGAUUUAAGGUAGCAAUAGGAAGAGAAAAUUAUUCUGAGACAGUAUUACUAUUUGAUAUCACUGACUCUUGAAGUCACUAACAGUGAACCUCAAAUUUGGUUACGAUGUUAACAGAAGAAGUAACUUAGUCUGGAAUACUGAAGCUAGCCUUUUUUGAAUUUCAUUCACAAAUGCUGCCCAUUAUUCCCUCCAUGGAAUUAACACAGAGUGUCUCAUGGCUGAAUGGGAGGCCUUUUAAAAACAUUCGCAAACCUUAAGAAUACUGAAAGUUUUGAAAGUAAACAUUAUGGUCAAGUCAGUUAUAUUCCAGAUUCUCUUCAUGAGUCCUCUCAUUUUUAUUUGCUGAGAAACUUUCAGGAAAUUAGUGCAAAGAUGAAGCUACCUGUUUCGUACUUUGCUAGGGUUAGGGAGGGAGUUGCAGGGCCCGUGGCCCGCAGGCCUGGGGUGUGCUUCCCUGAGGACUGACGGCCCUGGCCAUGUGCAGGUGAUCAGGCUCGCCUCUGCUGUUCCCUGUUCUUUCCGUGGCAUUCUGUGGCAUCACGAGGCCUCCUACCAGUUUCUCAGAAUUGUACACAGGACAAUCCACGUGGUGACCUUGGACAGCAGCCUGCUUAGGUUCCCCGGGAGUUCAGUCAUCAUACCUGGCAGUUGAGAACUGCCGUAAACUUUUCACCACAAGAUGCAGGGCAUGGAAUAGAGGCUGGGGUGGGGUUGGGGGAGAUGCCUUUACAGAUAACUAAGGCUAAUUUGAAAACCAGUAGUUAAGCUAUUCUUUAACAUUUAUCAAUAUGAAAAUACUGAGGUUUGCUUAAGUUAUGCUUAAAUUUAUCUUAGAUGUGUUGUUUUUAACUGAUAUAUCAACUACAUCAAAUAUUUUGUAAAUGAAUCAGCAAAUGUUUUAUAAGGACCCAAAGCCUGGUAUACUGCCAGAUUUGCGGAUUUAGGUGUUAGAUGUUGGAGAAUAUCAGAAAGGAGAAACAUACAGAUGAGAAGAACUACGGUUAGGCAGUGGAAAAUUGGCAUUUUCAUAGCACUAUUGAAGUGGUCAUGAUAAUGCCAUACUUCCUUCUGCACAUCUGGUCAGAUUUCAACAUUUAUUGAGAGUUUACUCUGGUAUCAGAAGGAAAGCUCUCUGAGGGCAGGGAUACAUGUAUAUAUAUAUAAAUUUUUUAAACCACUGAAUCCAGUGCCUAUAACAGUGCCUGGCACAUAACUGGCACUCAAUAAAUAUUUGUUGAUUGAUUGCAUGACUGCUGGACACUGGCUAGACCUUGGAAAUGAGAUGUGUGAGAAAUGCUUCCAGAUCUCAAGAAGCUCACGGUCUGGUGGAAGAUACAAGCAUGUAAUCAAGUGAUAGAGAAUGCUUCUCAGUUGGGUCCCUGAACUAGCAGCAUUAGCCUCACUUGGGGACUUGUUAGAAAUGCAAAUUCUCAGCACCACCCCCAGACUCAGGAGGCAGGGCCUGGCAUCCCUCCAGGUGAUUCUGAUGACCCUCAAGGUUGAGAACCACCAUGCUGUGGAUGUAACUGCAGGAACAGAGUGGUGGCACAAAAGAGGACAAGCAUACACUGGUGAGUCGUGGAAAAAGGGGCUUCCAGAAAUGGAGAUCCCGAAGAGGGUAUGGGGCAUUGCCAGGCAAGCAGUGGCGGUGAGAUGAACCCCUGACAGAGAGUAAUGGAGAUAGAUGUCACUCUGGGAGUAGGAAAGGAAAGUGCCUGGGGGCCCGCACAGUGGUUGCUGAGCUGCACCGAGAGCCCUGGGGCAGCAGUGUUGACUAAGAUCUAGUAAUUCACAGUCUAGAGGCUUCAUCCCUUAGCCUGAGAAAUCAGAAUUUGCACUUCAAAAUGUAUCAUCUUUAAUUUCAGAGAUUGGGUGGGAGGAGAGUAGUAAAUUCAUAAUUUGAAAAGAAUUGCUCAGCAUUUUUUGUUUACUGCCAAGUGACCACAGAAUGUGCCGACAGGAGUGGGGGUGAGCGUGGGCCUGGCUGGCUCCGCAGCGGUCGGGCAAAGUGCACACAGGUCUCUGUGUGUUGUCCGUUGUAUCGCUCCCAAAGCUUUUGCGUUCAUUCGACUUUUCUGUAGGUUUCUCUUCCUCAGUUACUUAUUGAGUUUGAAAAUAAAUUUGCUCUCAUAAAUCUUCCUCAUUUUAUGCAUGAACAGUUCAGCUUUCAGACCUGCCACAACAGUCUGCUUAUGACCCUCUUUAGAGCAAGUGGCAUUUUAAACACCAAUUUUUUAAAGUCCUGGCAUUGCCAACAGUGGCCACUUAGCAUUUGGCUGAGGCUGUUACUAUUGCUUGUCAGGGUUAAGCAACGGUUUAGAACCUUCAUUUCAUGUGUAAUGUUCGUGAAGUCUUUUUAUUCAUUCUUCUGCUAUCACUUAAAAUUGUAACAUUUAGACAUAUAGGAAAACUUGAAAGGCCCAUUAAUCAGUUCCAGUUGAAAAUGAGACCUAUUUAAAAUGAAACACUCUGUGCGAUACUUUAAUUUAGAAGCUUGUCCAUAAAAAUGCAUUUUCUGUAGUCAAUGAACUGCAUUUAAAUAGACUCAGAUUUCAAAGAAACUUAGGUCUCAUCUGUUUAGAAUAUACCUUUUCAGAUCUGGAAACGGGAGAGUCCUGACGAUGAAUGAUUUCUUGAAGUCAAGUACAGAAUGUCACAAGGGCCUAAAUCAGUAUCAGGAUUUUUUUCCAUUUUCAGUUUUGCUUUUAAUGUAAGUGCACAUUUGUCCUGUACAUGCUGACACGUUGGCUGAUUUUUUUUUGUCAGCUGAUUUUAACAUGUAUGUUACAGUAGUAAAUUAAAGGACUUCUGUUAUUGUAAAUUAAGUCUUUUUUUUCUUUGGUAAAAUUAUACCUACACAUUGUCAAUCAGCAAAUAGCUCUAUAAACCUUACUUUGAAACAAUAAAUUCUACCCUGUCCUCUAUAUCACCCAUCCCCAGAGGCCUCCAGGCUCAACUGUUUUAGCUGGUCAGUUUGUAUUUAUCUCCAGACCAAGUGCCUGUAUUGUUCCUUAAUAGUUUUUAGUUUUAGGUAUUUUCUCUUGCCUUUCCAUUAUGGAAGGGCUUCUGUCUCCUCAGUCCUCUCGCCACACACCUUGAUCUUCCCAUCCUCCCCAUAUUUUAUUUUUGUGGCCUCAAUAUCCAUUGUUUGGGAUUAUGACUGUAAAUGUUGCUCACAGCUUUGUCAUGUUGGGUACUGUGAUUACUUUUCCUUUCCUUAUAAAUCUUAUUUUCCUGAAUUUAAAAUUUGCCCUUUUUGGGGGGUUGGGCUUGGUUUUCUAUUUUAUCACUAACUCCUUCUAUCAGUACGUUCAAGCACAUUAGGUGACCUAGAAAUCUCUUCCUAGUGAAGAAAUCCCUUCCAGAGCCUCUGACCACGUCCAGCCUGGACUGAUUGCUCACUGGACCCUCUGUCCUGCUGUCUUCUCCCCCCGCCCCUCAACAGCUCUCCUGGGGAGGGGCAGGGGCGGUCCUUCACCUUCUGCCUGAAUGGAACCCCUGCUCCCUGGAAACCAUGUCUUUCUCUCAAUUUGAUGGAUCCCUGAGAAAGGGUACGUGGUGGUGGGAUGACUGUCAGACAAGACUGUUGCUGCGGAACAAUGUGGGUACCGUGACCAUCUGCAGUGUCUUUAUUCUGCCCACACAUUCAGUUGAUAGUUGGUUGCGUAUCGAAUUCUAGACGAGGAAUAACUUCCCCUCAGAGUUUUGAAGGCGUUGUUUCACGAGCCUAGUGACACCACUGGGAUGAGUUUCAAGGUUUGGGUUGUCAAUCAGACUCAUAAGACAGCGACGGUACCUAGGCAACAGAUAAAUCUAGAACGGUGUAGAACAGUGCAGAGCCUCCAUAAUGUCGCCAUUGAUUCCUCUGUUCUGUUUGUCGGAUAAGUUUAAGUUUAAACAAAACAAAGCUCCUUUGUGUUCACUUUAAUGAUUUGGGGGUAGAAAACAGGUAAAUCAAUAUGUUCACUUCAACGUUUUUGUAUUUUGUGUAACGUUUUGGCUUGAAGCAUGAAAUUUCUUUCCCACAGUCAUUUUAAACAUUUUUACUAAUGUGUUUAGUAUAAAUAGCCACCUCUUAAUAUAAUUAGGCAUCUUUUCUUUGGGAGUAAGCCCCAAAGAUAUUGUGUGAGAGGGGACUAUGUUCUUCUGCUAAGGGCUAUUUUUAAGACUUAAUGGAGAUGAGGAACACCUGAAACAUACAGAUUUAAAAAAAACACCUUUGGGGAUAAAGGGUUAAAUCUUGUUGGACUUAACUCUAGCAUUUGGAUGUCUUUCCAUGUGUUAUUUCUGAUUGUAUGUUUUAAAAGGCUUGAAAAUAGAAACACAUUACCACGCUAA